GGGAGGCGCCCGUAAUGUGAAGAAAGGAAGUGAGGUCAUGGGAGUGGACAUUGGUACUCAUGAUUGAAAAGAUUGCCUAAACAUAUUCACAAGGAGCAAUCAUAACUUCAGGCUAAAAUUAUCUAGAAGGAGAUAUUCAACCUGGAACAAAUAGGACCUGCAUCGACUCUGUCAACUAUGGAGACCUAGAACCAUGGCAGGAAAGU